AUACUUACCUGGCAGGGGAGAUACCAUGAUCAUGUAGGUGGUUCACCCAGGGCGAGGCUCAGCCAUUGCACUGAGGCUGUCUGACCUCUGCGAAUUCCCCAAAUGUGGGAAUCUCGACUGCAUAAUUUCUGGUAGUGGGGGACUGCGUUCGCGCUCUGCCCUG
rnacentral:snRNA from 1 species